AAUCAACGCUGGCGGCGUGCCUAACACAUGCAAGUCGAACGCGAAAGUCCCGCAAGGGGCAAGUAGAGUGGCAAACGGGUGAGUAACACGUGGGUGACCUGCCUUCGAGUGGGGGAUAACGUCCCGAAAGGGACGCUAAUACCGCAUGACAUCCUGCUUUUGGAAAAGCGGAGAUCAAAGCCGGGGAUCGCAAGACCUGGCGCUCGAAGAGGGGCCCGCGCCUGAUUAGCUAGUUGGGAGGUAC
rnacentral:rRNA from 1 species